rnacentral:lncRNA from 1 species
UUGAAGAUCACAUAAGGUACAUAUGCACUUAGUUUUUAAGCAUAAACCUAACUGAUUUAUACAUUACCCUUGUCCUUUUUAAUAGUUAAAGUUUUAAUUAUAAUAGUGGUGCUCCCCAAAACCAGCAAUCAUAUUACAAGAUGUUUGGAGGAAUAUAUUUUAAACUUUAAACCUGAAAAAAGCAUUUCCUAAUUAUGCUUUUUAGAGUUAUAGAUAAGGUUGGAGUUGGCCUGGGGAGGCCCCAUUUUCCAACUGGUUCACGAGGAGGACAUCUGUUCACAGAAGUAGAAUGGAGAUAAAUCCAACAACCAAGUGGCCAUACGAGACCAUGGUCAACAAACACACUCUAAGAGACAUUUUGGAUAACCCUAGGAGUAACAAAGCUAGUGGUUCUCAAAAUUUGCUGUACUUUGGAAUGACCUAGAGAGAUGUUUAAAGUCUCAAUGCCCAGACUUCAUGCCAGACUACUUAAAUCAAUAUAUCCUAUAGCGAGACCCAACCUCAGUACUUCUGGGAGUUCCCAUAGUGAUUUCAAUGUGUGGCUCAAUUUGAAAAACAGUGGCUUAGACAACCAAGUCAACACAUUUAAUCCAAUAAAUACUGAUAGAGCCUUUUAUUAAGUGAAGUUUUAAAAAGUCACAAGACAAAAGCGUCUGUGACAUCUAUAACUAGAAUAUAAGCCAGAACUUGUACAGAGUCCAAAAGGAGAUAUCCAGAGGGUAGAGAGAUGAUUUCUAGUAGAGCCAAACCUGGUAUGAGUGUGUUGCAUUAAGAUAGCACUUAAGAUGAGGUAAGAUUAUUGGCCUGAGCACCCCAUGUGACGGGACCAGACUGAGCAAAGCCAUAACAUGCAACAAAAGCACAGAAUAUGUUCCUGGGUCAACGAACUCAAUUUAGCUUGAGGGUACAUUUCCAGUACAGGAGUUGAAUUUGUACAAACCAGAAAGUUUCAUAUAAGGACCUGCAAACAUCAUGCUGCAGAAUUUAUAUUUGAUUUGAUGGACUCAGAUUACUUUUUAUUAUUAUUAUUAUUAGAUUCAAAAUUUAGAAGUAUUAAUCUGCAAUGUUCUAAGUGUAGGUUAGACUGGAGAUGAGAGACCUGAACCAAAGAAUUAAGUUAGGA